UUGCAUGGCCUCAGCAAUGUACUGCCAGGCUUUCGCCAGUCGUGAUAGCAUUAUACUUACGUGCUGGCUGAGGAAACUGAGGCCCAGGUUUGGUUGGAACUGUGCCCAACGUCACAGUGCCCCUAUGGGAUGUGGGCCGACAACAAAACAGGGUCACGAGUCGGCCACUCCUUGUCGGAAGAGAACCAGAUCCCGUGGGAGCUCCUGGCUGGUCCAGGUGCUCCGAAGACUCAGCGCAGGCGCUGCCUGGGAAAGUUGGUCGUGGAAUCAAGGGAACAAAGGCUCCAGGUGCUCGGACGGCUGAUGCCUGCCUGGCUAGAGGCCAGUUUCCUGCUCGAUCGGGUUGCUCUUGACUGCCCAGGUUCAGGGAACUUACCCCUUGUUCCAUGCUCCUGCCUCUGCCAAACGGAUCUCUUUAACUGAAGAUGACCCGGGACUCCUGACGCUCCUGCCUUUACCUCUGAGACCACAGCUCGAGACAGGCACUGAUCUUGGUGCCCGGCCCAGGCUGACCUGGAAACCAUUAACCUUUGCUGCGGUCUCCUGAGUCGCGUCUCGCAAAUAUUUACCGGGCACCUCCCAUAUUCCAAGCACUGUGUGUGAUGCUGAUGGUCAGCGUUGAGCAAACACAGGAAGAAGAAGGGGAGGAGGAACCUGAACCUAGGUCCUCAGAGAAUAAAGAGCAAGCACAAGAGCCACUAAUGAGGGACACACAGGUAAGAGUAAACUCUGAAGCAAUCGAGUCUCUUUGUUCCCUUUCCACCCACUAAACCCUGCUGGCUGGAGGUGAGACAGAGACAGA